rnacentral:rRNA from 1 species
GAGUUUGAUCGUGGCUCAGGAUGAACGCUAGCGGCAGGCUUAAUACAUGCAAGUCGUGGGGCAGCAUGGUGUAGCAAUACACUGAUGGCGACCGGCAAACGGGUGCGGAACACGUACGCAACCUUCCCAUAACUGGUGAAUAGCCCUCCGAAAGGAGGAUUAAUACACCGUAACAUAACGAAAUGGCAUCAUUUUGUUAUUAUAGCUUCGGCGGUUUUGGAUGGGCGUGCGACUGAUUAGAUAGUUGGCGGGGUAACGGCCCACCAAGUCCACGAUCAGUAACUGGUGUGAGAGCACGACCAGUCACACGGGCACUGAGACACGGGCCCGACUCCUACGGGAGGCAGCAGUAAGGAAUAUUGGUCAAUGGACGCAAGUCUGAACCAGCCAUGCCGCGUGAAGGAUGAAGGCCCUCUGGGUUGUAAACUUCUUUUAUCUGGGACGAAAAAGGGAAAUUCUUUUCCCCCUGACGGUACCAGAGGAAUAAGCACCGGCUAACUCCGUGCCAGCCGCCGCCGUAAC